GGCCCUAUCGUCUAACGGUUAGGACAGCAGAUUCUCAAUCUGUAAAUCCGGGUUCAAUUCCCGGUAGGGUCA
rnacentral:tRNA from 1 species